rnacentral:rRNA from 1 species
GUGGGGAAUCUUGCGCAAUGGGCGAAAGCCUGACGCAGCCAUGCCGCGUGGAUGAUGAAGGUCUUAGGAUUGUAAAAUCCUUUCACCGGUGAAGAUAAUGACUGUAGCCGGAGAAGAAGCCCCGGCUAACUUCGUGCCAGCAGCCGCGGUAAUACGAAGGGGGCUAGCGUUGCUCGGAAUUACUGGGCGUAAAGGGAGCGUAGGCGGACAUUUAAGUCAGGGGUGAAAUCCCAGAGCUCAACUCUGGAACUGCCUUUGAUACUGGGUGUCUUGAGUGUGAUAGAGGUAUGUGGAACUCCGAGUGUAGAGGUGAAAUUCGUAGAUAUUCGGAAGAACACCAGUGGCGAAGGCGACAUACUGGAUCAUUACUGACGCUGAGGCUCGAAAGCGUGGGGAGCAAACAGGAUUAGAUACCCGAGUAGUCC